CCUACGGGAUGCAGCAGUGAGGAAUAUUGGUCAAUGGGCGCGAUCCUGAACCAGCCAAGUAGCGUGAAGGAUGACUGCCCUACGGGUUGUAAACUUCUUUUAUAAAGGACUAAAGUGAGGCACGUGUGCCUUUUUGUAUGUACUUUAUGAAUAAGGAUCGGCUAACUCAGUGCCAGCAGCCGCGGUAAUACGGAGGAUCCGAUCGUUAUCCGGAUUUAUUGGGUUUAAAGUGAGCGUAGAUGGUUUGUUAAGUCAGUUGUGAAAGUUUGCGGCUCAACCGUAAAAUUGCAAUUGAUACUGGCAGGAUUGAGUACAGUAGAGGUAGGCGGAAUUCGUGGUGUAGCGGUGAAAUGCUUCGAUAUCACGAAGAACUCCGAUUGCGAAGGCAGCUUACUAAACUGCCACUGACAUUGAGGCUCGAAAGUGUGGGUAUCAAACAGGAUUAGAUACCCAAGUAGUC
rnacentral:rRNA from 1 species